GUAAGGGCAAACCGUUCGAAAGAGCGGGACGCAAAGCCAGGGGGCUAAAGCGGCAGAUGCCGCCAGGCCAGCCCGGCCGCCAU
rnacentral:ncRNA from 1 species